AAUGUAGCUGAGGGAAGUCGGCAAAUUACAUCCGUAACUUCGGGAUAAGGAUUGGCUCUGAAGAUUGAGAUAGUCGGGCUUGAUUGGGAAGAAAUAAUAUGGUUUAUGUACUCAUACUUACCGAGUAGAGAUUUUCGGAUCUUGUUCUUCGGAUGUCAGUUACGUAGUCAAUUGUGGAACUUUCUUGCUAAAAUUUUUAAGGAAUUAUCGUAAGACAUAUUCUUUUUAAAUCAUGGCGAUUAUCAAUUAACAAUCAUUUCAGAACUGGCAUGGACUUGGAGAAUCCGACUGUCUAAUUAAAACAAAGCAUUGCGAUGGCCCUAACGGAUGUUGACACAAUGUGAUUUCUGCCCAGUGCUCUGAAUGUCAAAGUCAAGAAAUUCAAGUAAGCGCGAGUAAACGGUGGGAGUAACUAUGAUUCUCUCUCCUAGUAACGAUGACAAACAUCCAUGUAGCGAUUGCAAAAGGCAGCUGACAUCAUAGAAGUGCUUAUUCUAACCCAUUCGUGGCUCCUGCUGAGCGGUGGACGCGCAGGAUUGCUCUCUUCCAGACUCCUA
rnacentral:ncRNA from 1 species